ensembl:lncRNA
CCUACCACUGUGACAAGACAGAAGCACAUAAAGGCACAAUUUAUGGCUCACUUUCCAGAUUUGGAUUUGGUAGAUAGAAAUAAAAACAGUGAUCAAUAUACAUCUCUGUGCCCUGCUGCUGACAAGGAAAAUGCACAUGGACAAAGCCAUAACUCAGCUGAUGUGCAGGAAUUUUCCUACAUCACGCGGGCUCUCCUACCAGCCAAGGAAUGAGCAUGACUUCAUCCCAAACCCGUCCUCAAAAUUCCCGAGUCAUCCCGCUGGGUGGGUGCAGGGUAGCUCCAAGCUGUUCCUCUCUCAGGUGGCAGCAAGCUGCCAUAAAAUUCUCCGAGAGGCUGGCAAGAUAUCAUUUUCUAAAGGAGGAGUGUUUGUCUACUGACUGCAACAUAAUUUUUGAAUCAGUUCUAAAAAUGUUAACGUUUUUUGUUUGAAAAGCAAUUGUAAUUUUCCUGUCACAACAUUCCGCAAAAAGCGGGACCCUCCAAACUCAAUGGGGAAAAUAUGGGUUUCUGAAGAAUCUGGACUGGUUCCUAAGCUCCUGUUAACAUUUUUUCCCAGAGACAUCUGCUUCUAUUUGCGUAUUUCUUCAGAUACUAAAGAUAAAAUUAGAAUGUGGAGAUUUUAGUGUUAAAAUCUUAAGCGCAGACGUGAUGCAACUGCCACAGAUCUUUUAAUGGUCAUGCUUCAGAGAGAGACUUUUGGAGUAACUGAAAGAGAUCAGUUCCUGCUGUGAGCAAAAUUUUGACGUUUUGAAUUUUCAAUAAAUCAGAAAAGACUGCCAGCUACAGAAUUAUGCUGCUAAGUUUCUUAGCAGAUCUCCUGCAGUUGUCACAGCAAUUAUUCUCAAGGUGCUUUCCAAACAUGCCACUUUAGGAAUCUGUUUAUGUGGAUUAAUUUCUGGGAAGUUCUUGCAUAAAUUCCAGGUACAAACAGUAAAAACUGUUAAAAAAAAAAAAAAAAAAAAAAAAGUCCUAAAAUGUGCUGAGGUAAGCACUUUACUGGCUUUUUGUAUUUCCACCAAAAAAAAAAGGAAAGAAAACCAGCAAGUGGAUCACAAAUUAUUGCACCAUAUAGUUCACUAUUCCAGUACCUGCUCAAACCUCGCAUGUGAUCUUAAAAUGUUACAUAAAACCACACUUUCUGAAGUCAUGGUGCAUCAGUUUGCAAUUCUAGUUGAGCAUGGAAACCACUAUGGGGCAUGCAAACUACACUUUUAUUGCCAUUCCUGAAACAUGGUGGGAUCACUCCCACAGCUGGAGUGCUGCAAUGGAUGGCUGUAAGCUCUUCAGAAGGGAUAGGCAAGGAAGGAGGGGCGGUGGCUUGGCUCUGUGUUUAGAGAAUGUUUUGAUGUUGUUGAGCUCAGGACUGGUAAUGGUAAGGCUGAGUCUCAGUGUGUAAGGAUCAAAGGGAGGACCAACAAGGCUCACAUCCUGGUGGAAGUCUGUUGUAGACUGCCUAACCAGGAAGAAGAGAUGGAUAAGGCAUUCUACAAGUAUCUGGCAGUAGUUGCAUGAUCAGCAGCCCUUGUUGUCCUGGAGGACUUCAACUUCCCUGAUAAAAACUGGAAAUAUAAGACAGCACAGAGAAAGUCUAGGAGGUGUUUACUGUGUGUGGAAGAUAACUUCCUGAUGCAGUUGGUAAGAGAGCAUACCAGAGGAGGUGCCCCACUAGACCUGCUGCUCGCAGAGGACUGCUUGGAGAUGAGGAGGUCAGGAGAUGUCUUGGGCAAAGUGAGCACAAAAUGGUAGAGUUCUCAAUUCUUGGUGAAGUCAUGAGGGCAGUUAGGAAAACUGCUGCCUUGGACUUCCAGGUGGAGGACUUUGAACUGCUCAGGACACUGGUAGGAAAGGUCCCUUGGGAUUCAGUACUGAAGGGUGAAGGACUGCAGGAAGGCUGGGUGCUCCUCAAGAGGGAAAUCUUAGAGACAGAGAUGCAGGCUAUCUCCUUGUGCCAUAAGAUAAGCCAGAAGGGAAGACCAGUGUGGAUGAAGAGGGAAUUUUUACUGAGACACCAGAAGAAAAAGAGUCUACCUCCUGUGGAAGAAGGAAUGGGCAACUCAGAGAGUACAAAGAAGAUGUUAGGAUAGGCAUGGAGAAAAUUAGAAAGGCAAAAGCCCAGCCUAAACUCAACCUGGCCUCCAUGGUAAAAGACAACGAAAAUUUUUUUUUUACAAAUGUUUUAACAGUAAGAGGAAAGCUUAGGAGAAUCUCAUUCUCCCGUUAUAUUUCAUUUCCACCUUUUUGAAAUAUUCAAAGGUUUUAAAGGCAAGUGCAAAUUUCCAAAUUCCUAGGCCAGGUCUAAGGCUGCUCAAAAACGACGAAGUUUUGAACUUGGGAUAACUGAUCUCUGGGACCAUCAAGCUGAAGACAAGAGAACCUGGAGAAGAAGCAGCAUGACCAUAUGAAAAAUUCCAAAACAUGGCAUGAAAUAAGUCAAUUUCAGGUGUUCUAAUAAAUCUGUUUUCCAUCAGAGCUCCAUCAGUUUCAGAAUUUCCACACAUUCCCACAAUUUUUUUUCAAUUUAUUCCAGUGGAAUAAAGAAGUUUGCCAACAUAUUCCUUGUAUGAAAAAUGCACUAAAAAAAAAAAAUCUUACUAUUUUUCCUUUAUUCUCACAGUGUGUGACCCAAAGACCAAGUUACAUGCAUUAAUGAAAGAUUAGGAAGAAGGAGAAUAAAGUAGACAAUCAGGAGAUUGAAAACCUGUCCUUGAAUGAGAACAUAGCCCGCAGUCACUACAUCUCCUGAAUAUAAGACAAGAUUUGCAGACCAUCUUAAAGUUUGUAGUAUAGCACAUGCUAAAUAUAGUCAAGCUAUGUAGAAGAGGAGCAGUGAGGUUCUUUGGCACUUUUUCAGGAGCUGUGCAGAGGAAAAGCUAGUUACUUUCAGUUCAGCGUAGUGUGACUCAUUUAUGGCUGAAAGAUCCACUAAAUGCAGAGAAAAGCCUGCAGAAACCUGUAAGGAUUGAAAAUGUUACUGGAAGCAUCAAAGUGUCUGCCUUUCAUGAGAGAUUUCUGAAAAGAUAAAGAGAGUGACCAAAUCUUCUCCUCAAGCACUUACUCUGGUUUUCAAGGUUGAAUCUUGUCUUAGAGGAAUGCAUAUAAAUUGACUGUGGUUCUGCUAAGCACAGAAAUGGUGUUUUGCCAGUAAAAUAGUGAAGGUGGAGGCAAAGUCACAGGUGAAUGAUGUGAACUGGGUUGCAUUUACAAUAAUAGCUACGAGGCAAAAAAGGCUCCCCUU